rnacentral:rRNA from 1 species
GAUGAACGCUGGCGGCGUGCCUAAUACAUGCAAGUCGAGCGAACAGACGAGGAGCUUGCUCCUCUGACGUUAGCGGCGGACGGGUGAGUAACACGUGGAUAACCUACCUAUAAGACUGGGAUAACUUCGGGAAACCGGAGCUAAUACCGGAUAAUAUAUUGAACCGCAUGGUUCAAUAGUGAAAGACGGUUUUGCUGUCACUUAUAGAUGGAUCCGCGCCGCAUUAGCUAGUUGGUAAGGUAACGGCUUACCAAGGCAACGAUGCGUAGCCGACCUGAGAGGGUGAUCGGCCACACUGGAACUGAGACACGGUCCAGACUCCUACGGGAGGCAGCAGUAGGGAAUCUUCCGCAAUGGGCGAAAGCCUUACGGAGCAACGCCGCGUGAGUGAUGAAGGUCUUCGGAUCGUAAAACUCUGUUAUUAGGGAAGAACAAAUGUGUAAGUAGCUAUGCACGUCUUGACGGUACCUAAUCAGAAAGCCACGGCUAACUACGUG